ensembl:misc_RNA Y_RNA Y RNA
GGCUGGUCCAAAGGUAGAGUUAUCUCACUUGAUUGUUCACAGUCAGUUACAGAUUGAACUCCUUGUUCUACUCUUUACCCCCUUCUCACUAUUGCACUUGGCUAGUCUAAA